rnacentral:rRNA from 1 species
UAGUCCUAGCCGUAAACGGUGCACACUUGCUGUAGGAGGAUUCGACCCCUUCUGUGGCGGAGCAAACGCGUUAAGUGUGCCGCCUGGGGAGUACGGUCGCAAGAUUAAAACUCAAAGAAAUUGACGGGGGCCUGCACAAGCGGUGGAGUAUGUGGCUUAAUUCGAUGCAACGCGAAGAACCUUACCUGGCCUUGACAUGCAUCUCUAAGCGUGUGAAAGCACGUGACCCCUCGGGGAAUUUGCACAGGUGCUGCAUGGCUGUCGUCAGCUCGUGUCGUGAGAUGUUGGGUUAAGUCCCGCAACGAGCGCAACCCUUGUGUCCUGUUGCCACUUCCGCUAGCGCGGAAAGCACUCUGGACAGACUGCCUCGUCUCAACGAGGAGGAAGGUGGGGAUGACGUCAAGUCAGUAUGGCCCUUACGGCCAGGGCUGCACACGUACUACAAUGCCUAGUACAAUGGGAAGCAAUAUCGUGAGGUGGAGCAAAUCCUCAAAA